rnacentral:rRNA from 1 species
AGAGUUUGAUCCUGGCUCAGGACGAACGCUGGCGGCGUGCCUAAUACAUGCAAGUAGAACGCUGAAGGGAGGAGCUUGCUCUUCUUGGAUGAGUUGCGAACGGGUGAGUAACGCGUAGGUAACCUGCCUUGUAGCGGGGGAUAACUAUUGGAAACGAUAGCUAAUACCGCAUAACAAUGGAUGACACAUGUCAUUUAUUUGAAAGGGGCAAUUGUUCCACUACAAGAUGGACCUGCGUUGUAUUAGCUAGUAGGUGAGGUAAUGGCUCACCUAGGCGACGAUACAUAGCCGACCUGAGAGGGUGAUCGGCCACACUGGGACUGAGACACGGCCCAGACUCCUACGGGAGGCAGCAGUAGGGAAUCUUCGGCAAUGGGGGCAACCCUGACCGAGCAACGCCGCGUGAGUGAAGAAGGUUUUCGGAUCGUAAAGCUCUGUUGUAAGUCAAGAACGGGUGUGAGAGUGGAAAGUUCACACUGUGACGGUAGCUUACCAGAAAGGGACGGCUAACUACGUGCCAGCAGCCGCGGUAAUACGUAGGUCCCGAGCGUUGUCCGGAUUUAUUGGGCGUAAAGCGAGCGCAGGCGGUUUGAUAAGUCUGAAGUUAAAGGCUGUGGCUCAACCAUAGUUCGCUUUGGAAACUGUCAAACUUGGGUGCAGAAGGGGAGAGUGGAAUUCCAUGUGUAGCGGUGAAAUGCGUAGAUAUAUGGAGGAACACCGGUGGCGAAAGCGGCUCUCUGGUCUGUAACUGACGCUGAGGCUCGAAAGCGUGGGGAGCGAACAGGAUUAGAUACCCUGGUAGUCCACGCCGUAAACGAUGAGUGCUAGGUGUUGGAUCCUUUCCGGGAUUCAGUGCCGCAGCUAACGCAUUAAGCACUCCGCCUGGGGAGUACGACCGCAAGGUUGAAACUCAAAGGAAUUGACGGGGGCCCGCACAAGCGGUGGAGCAUGUGGUUUAAUUCGAAGCAACGCGAAGAACCUUACCAGGUCUUGACAUCCCGAUGCUAUUUCUAGAGAUAGAAAGUUACUUCGGUACAUCGGUGACAGGUGGUGCAUGGUUGUCGUCAGCUCGUGUCGUGAGAUGUUGGGUUAAGUCCCGCAACGAGCGCAACCCCUAUUGUUAGUUGCCAUCAUUCAGUUGGGCACUCUAGCGAGACUGCCGGUAAUAAACCGGAGGAAGGUGGGGAUGACGUCAAAUCAUCAUGCCCCUUAUGACCUGGGCUACACACGUGCUACAAUGGUUGGUACAACGAGUUGCGAGUCGGUGACGGCGAGCUAAUCUCUUAAAGCCAAUCUCAGUUCGGAUUGUAGGCUGCAACUCGCCUACAUGAAGUCGGAAUCGCUAGUAAUCGCGGAUCAGCACGCCGCGGUGAAUACGUUCCCGGGCCUUGUACACACCGCCCGUCACACCACGAGAGUUUGUAACACCCGAAGUCGGUGAGGUAACCUUUUGGAGCCAGCCGCCUAAGGUGGGACAGAUGAUUGGGGUGAAGUCGUAACAAGGUA